CAUCCCGACUUACCAACUCGAUGCAAACUACGAAUACCGAAGAAUGUUAUCACGGGAGACACACGGCGGGUGCUAACGUUCGUCGUGAAGAGGGAAACAACCCAGACCGCCAGCUAAGGUCCCAAAGUCAUAGUUAAGUGGGAAACGAAGUGGGAAGGCUCAGACAGCCAGGAUGUUGGCUUAGAAGCAGCCAUCAUUUAAAGAAAGCGUAAUAGCUCACUGGUCGAGUCGGCCUGCGCGGAAGAUGUAACGGGGCUAAACUAUGCACCGAAGCUGCGGCAGCGAACGUAUCACUUAAACUGAUUAAGUGAUACUCAAAUGUAUCAAAACGAUUGACGGAGCGAAGCGACGUCAAUGCGUCCAACAAAGUCGAGGCGGAAACGUCAGGCAGUCAGUUUAAGGAUACGUUCGUUGGGUAGGGGAGCGUUCUGUAAGCCUGUGAAGGUGUGCUGUGAGGCAUGCUGGAGGUAUCAGAAGUGCGAAUGCUGACAUAAGUAACGAUAAUGCGGGUGAAAAACCCGCACGCCGGAAGACCAAGGGUUCCUGUCCAACGUUAAUCGGGGCAGGGUGAGUCGACCCCUAAGGCGAGGCAGAAAUGCGUAGUCGAUGGGAAACGGGUUAAUAUUCCCGUACUGGUGAUAAUUGCGAUGGGGGGACGGAGAAGGCUAGGCUAUCCGGGCGACGGUUGUCCCGGUUUAAGGAUGUAGGCAGGUGAAUUAGGCAAAUCCGGUUCACUAUAUGCUGAGGUCCGACGACGAGUCACUACGGUGAUGAAGUAGCUCAUGCCCCGCUUCCAGGAAAAGCCUCUAAGCUCUAGAUUAUCAUUAAUCGUACCCCAAACCGACACAGGUGGUCAGGUAGAGAAUACUCAGGCGCUUGAGAGAACUCGGGUGAAGGAACUAGGCAAAAUGGUGCCGUAACUUCGGGAGAAGGCACGCUGGCAUUAGGUGAAGUGAUUUACUCAUGGAGCUGAAGCCAGUCGCAGAUACCAGCUGGCUGCAACUGUUUAUUAAAAACACAGCAACUGUCUCUUAUACAAAUCU
rnacentral:rRNA from 1 species